rnacentral:rRNA from 1 species
GGUUCAUUGUGCGAUUCAAUGUGAUUUGAAAUAAGGAAAUAAUUAUUUAGUUAAAAAUUAGUGAGAGUAUUCUUUAGUUUUAGUAUAUGUUUAGGGAAAAAUUAUGUUUAUUAUAGAUUAUUAGUAAAGUGAUUGGAAUUUGAAAUAUCUUUUUUUUAAUAAUAAGAAAAAUUAAUUUUUUGUACCUUGUGUAUCAGGGUUGAUUAAUUUAAGUCUAAUUAUUUAGUUUUCUCGAAUUGGAAAGAGUUAAUUGGCUAUUUAUUUAAUUGUUACAUAAAUUUUUUGAAUAGUCUUUUUGAAGUGAAACGUUAUUCGUUUUCUGUUAUAUCUAGUUUUUUAAGAAAGGAAUUUAAUUCUGUUAUUAUUUUUAUGAUUUUAUAUUUUAAUUUCAUGAGCUUAAUAUUAAACAUUCAAUGGGAUGAGCUUUUGAUUGUAAAUUUAAAAAUUCUCUUUAUUUUAAUAAUUUAUAUGAUUAGAAUUGUCAAUUUUUAUAAUAAUUUUAUAGUUAAUUUUUAUUUUUAUAUAAUUUUUAUUUUUUUUAAGUUUUAUAUUAAAAUGUAAUUUUGAAUUUUUAUUUAUUUAGUGAUAAUGAUUAAAUUAGUAAAUUUGAAUUGUUUAAUUGAUUGGGGUUGUAAGGUUUUUUAAAGGAAUUCGGCAAUAUAAAUUUUUCCGCCUGUUUAUUAAAAACAUGUCUUUUUGAUUAUAAUUUAAGGUUUGGUCUGCUCAAUGAGGAUUUAAAUUGCCGCGGUAUUUUGACCGUGCAAAGGUAGCAUAAUAAUUAGUUUUUUUAUUGAAAGCUGGAAUGAAGGAUUGGACGAGAAAAAUACUGUCUCUAUUAGAUUUAUUAUUAAAAUUAACUUUUAAGUUAAAAGGCUUAAAUUUUACUUAAAGACGAGAAGACCCUAUAGAGUUUUAUAGCUUAGUUGUGGGGAGUUUUUGGUUAUUUUAUUUCUUUAUGAUGAAUGUUAUUUGGUUGGGGUGACUUAAAGAUUUAGUAAACUCUUUAAAUUUGAAGUUAUUGAUUUGUAAAUAAUUAAUCUAAUUUUUUUAAAUUUAAAAUAAAUUACCUUAGGGAUAACAGCGUAAUUUUUCUUUAGAGUUCUUAUUGAAAGGGAAGUUUGCGACCUCGAUGUUGGAUUAAAAUUAAUUUUUGGUGUAGAAGCUAAAUAAUUGGGUCUGUUCGACCUUUAAAAUUUUACAUGAUCUGAGUUUAAACCGGUGUGAGCCAGGUUGGUUUCUAUCUUGAUUAUUGUUAUUAUACUUUAGUACGAAAGGACCAAGUAUUGGAUAUAUUUAUUUUUGUUUGUGGAUAUUAGUGUUACUUUGGCAGAUUAGUGCAAUUGAUUUAGAAUCUUUAUAUGUAAAUUU